ensembl:lncRNA
UGAGUUCAACAAAGCACUGGACUUGUCUGAAAGUUUUGAAGGUAAAGGGGACUAACUACUAGACUUUAAAGAUAGUGUGGUACAAAGGCCACAGUUCGUUUAUUUGGGAUUUCUGGAUUUAGUAAGGUCAAUCAACAGCCUUCAAAAGAAAACCCCCUAUGGUUUCAUUCAACCAUGAGACCCAUGUUCACGUUUUUGUGAGAACAUCAGGAGAAAAUUCAGCUGGGCAAUGGAAGAAACAUGUGUCCAUUUGGAUGGUGAUCAAUCUUUGGUUUAUACAGCACACAUGGUCCUUACAUAUCCCCUGCUUCCCCAGGGCCAUAUAGUCACUGAGUAAUGACUUGGUGGCUAUAAAGCAAAUGGCUCUGUAGUAAGUGCAAACACCAAUAGUAGCACAGGAUUAGAAGAUCUUUGAUCACUGAGGCUCCUUAAAAAGCUACUGGAUUACGAAGCACAUGAGACAGGGAAAGAAUCCUGACUGACCUUAAAUAGGCUUUUGUAGAACAAGAAGGCUCUACAUUUAAAGGGCUCAGUAACUAAGGACGUAUCUAGUGUCUGGGUUCAUUUCAUUAGUUCUAGGAUAAUUAGUGCCAUCAAAAGGCUCCAAACAGAAGAAUGUUCCUAUUAAUCUAUGAGUCUUUAAAUGCUGCUGUUCUAAUACAAAAAGCCUGGGGUUGGGAGGUAUGGAGCAAAGCAGGGUAAGAGCUACAUGAUAAUGAGAAAUUCAUACCUGCUUCUCAGAAUGAAGUUACCUCUGCAGGCUACUCAGAUCUCUUUUGCAGUCAUUAGUGUUAUAACAUUUAAUUCCUUAAACAACCUGCCCCCCAAUGCCUAUCAGUUCUAAACCUGGGGAAUGGGCACUUCUUCAGGGAGCCUAUCUAUGUGUUUAGCAUGGAGAGUUUGAGCCCUGCUUCACCCAGCUCCCUGACUGGGAGUCCUGCAGCCUCUGUCCCGACUUCCUGCAGGGCUUCGGCCCCUUCCCCUUUGAUACAGCAUCACCAACUGGUCUCCUCAGUCCCCCAUAGCACGAAGGCACUGCACAAGGAACCUCAGCUCCCACAUUUACAAGACAGUCCCUUGGCCCCUCUUUGUUGGUUUUAAGUGGCUCCCAGCUCUGUUACGAGGAGCAAGCUUUGUGCUGGCUGAGAUGUUCAGCAGGAUGAGUGCCACCAGACACAGGAUGUACAAAUCCUGACCCUGGGGACACUUGGAGAACCUGGGUGGGCACAAGUGCUGGCAGUGGAAGAUAAGAUCCAGACAGCAUUUUGGGAUUGUGACCUUGCCAUUUUUUGCUUAGGAAACUUCUGGCAAUGAAGCCUAAAAAAAAAAAAAGGCAAUAGCUAUAGGGUGGCUUAAAACCAGUGAAAAAGGAAGCAAAAAUGAAACUAGGUGUGGUGGUGCACGCUUGUAAUCCUAGCACUCUGGAAGGCUGAGGCAGAAUUGCUAGUUUGAGCCUAAUCUGGGCAAUUUAAUGAUUUAGCUAGAUAUUGCCCCGCCUCAAAAGAGAGAUAUGACUCAGUGUGAAGGCCCUUAGUUUAAUUCUCAAUACCUAGAAGAAAAGAAGUAAAAAUGAAGGUGACUGGCUUAGGAAAGAACUUAAUUUGCCUUUAUGCAUCAAAAGUAAAAGUAUAGAUAUUAUCACAUAAUAAAAAGAACAAUAUCAGUAACAGUAGUAAGCAUGAUAAGGAUAACUAUAGUUACAGAACCACCACUUUUGUUGUGCUGAAGGUUAUUGGAGAGGUUCUUGCAAGCAAAGGAAAAAAAAAAACAAAACGAGGAAAGGAAGAUG